UUUGCGAGUCGCCGGCUCAGCGUACGGUUGACUUACGCUAACAGUUCGUUGUGUUCAUAUCGAAUUAUAAUAUCAUUAGUUUUUAAAGUUUUAUAACCUAACAACUAUACGAGUGCCUUGUUGGAUGUGCUAGUGAUUGCAUGGAUUCGAAACAGAAGAACUACAUGUCACUCAUAAUUAACAUCCUGUUGAUUUUUUGAAGCAUCCAUCGUUUGUGUCCUUUUGGUAUUUAAAAUUGCAGUAACCGUCUUACAGUUACGUGUUUAACACUUUUCUUUGUUAACUGUAUCGCGGAGGAGCAUGUUUGUGUCUGUAAAUUGGCACGAGCCUUUAAUAAUAAUAGUGCACUGAAACCAGUUUGCAAGUGCGGUCGUCUGCGGUUGUCCUGGCUUAUGCAUGCGGGUUGUCUUUCUUUUGAACGAAUUUCGUAGCAUCGGUAAAUGCUGUUAAUGAUUGUAAAAGGAACGUGUUUUGAAUACGACUUUAAUUUAUGAGGUAUUGUGCAUAUUUGUUUUUUUUUUUAAAUAUAAAAUCUUUUGUUAUCGAACGGAAAGUGUUAUAUUUAUUUGAAUUAUGAACGGCGAAUUCCUUCAUAAUUAAUCCUUUGUUUGACAAAUAAAUAAUGCACUUUAUGUUAACUUACAA